AAUGAACGCUGGCGGCGUGCUUAACACAUGCAAGUCGAACGAGAAAGGGAUUGCUUGCAAUCCUGAGUAGAGUGGCGCACGGGUGAGUAACACGUAGAUAAUCUACCUUCAAGACUGGGAUAACUAUUCGAAAGGAUAGCUAAUACCGGAUGAAGUGAUUUAACACAAGUUAAACCAUGAAAGAUUGCCUCUUCUUGAAAGCAAUUGUUUGGAGAUGAGUUUGCGGACCAUUAGUUUGUUGGUGGGGUAAAGGCCUACCAAGACUACGAUGGUUAGCUGGUCUGAGAGGAUGAUCAGCCACACUGGAACUGGUACACGGUCCAGACUCCUACGGGAGGCAGCAGUGAGGAAUUUUGCGCAAUGGGGGCAACCCUGACGCAGCAACGCCGCGUGAGUGAAGAAGGCCUUUGGGUCGUAAAGCUCUGUCGACAGGGAAGAAAUUACAAUUAUCCAAUAGGUAGUUGUAUGACGGU
rnacentral:rRNA from 1 species